GCCGGUCCCCGCCCUGACCGCGAACGCUCAAGGUUGCCGCACGCAGGUUUUUCCUGAAAUACUAGGCUUUAGAAUUUCACCAUAUGAAUUUUGGGAGAGAGGAGCACAGUUCAGCCCAUAACUAACACACGACGGAAUGAAGUUGAUAAUAGUGAGACCUUGUUGGUACAAGACUAUGUAACAUAACCUGCGCUUCUCAACAAAGAAUUGCUUUUCUGACUUCUGCACUCAGUUCUUUCCUCCAGCUCACUUUAUUGUAAGAACCUUGGUGUCUGUAAUCGGCUCGGAACCCUUGCUGCUCUUUCACUGAAUAUCGCUGUCUGGAGGUUACUUGGUACACUGGUCGACAAAACCUUGAAAUGUUGAUGUUUAAGGGCUGUUGAUUGCUGGCAGCAAAGAAGUCCAACUGUGCUGGUACCCGAGAUAGCGUCUCCACAUUUUCUUCCAGGAUCAUCACCUUUGUUCUAAAUAGCUCCCACAUAGUGUGAACAGAAGUCAUAUGUUUUAGAUUUUCUGCCUUGGCACCCAGGAAACCAGUAUGAUUGAGUAAACAUAUUAAACUUCCUCUGCAUUUCCAGCCUGAACAGAUGUUGAGUACAAGCUGAUCCACCUACGUUCAACCUGAGAGAGUCCACAUCCACAGACUGUUUCAUUUCCCUUUUUCAAUUUACAUAGAAGCAUAGAUUCUUGCUGGCAUAUACAAAUGCGCCAUUUAAGGCAAUCAAAAAUGGUUCCACAUCUCAUCUGAUUUCCACAAUUGUUGCUGUAACGAUGGACUACUGAGGAGAGAGACAAUUUCUCUGGCACAUCUUCCCACAUUUUAGCAACAUGUUCAUGGAGAGCCAAUAUUCAGUAAUUACAGCCCAAUUCCUCACAAUUUCACAAUUCGCUAACAAUAUGCAUUUUCACAAUGUAAAGCUGAUUUUCCUUUAACCAAAUCAAACAUGAAAAGAUAGCUGCAUGCAAUGGGCAAUCUAGAUCAUUAGAAGAUUGAUGUAAAAUUAGAGGACACUGAGACUGGAAUAGAUUGCAAACUUCAGGGAGCUCAGAAAACUUGUAAACUCUACAUUUUGAGGAAAUAUGUUGUCGAUGCUUUUGCAACUCUAUGCAGUAACUUAACAAAUAAAGCCUUAAAGUAACU
rnacentral:lncRNA from 1 species